UUUUUGUUUUUUCUUAAAAAUUAAUUUGCAUUGUGUAUUUUUGAACAGUGGUAAAUUCUGAAGAGGUUAUUAAGACUUGCUGAGAAGAAAAAUCCGAGUGUUUAAUGGGCUGUGUGUCAAAGGAACAUCCUUACUCUCACCCUUCUUCUUUCCACCCCCCGUUUUUUUCAAAUUUUCUUGUUUGUUCUCAGUCAUGCUGGGAAUCAGAACCUUGUGAGCCACUCCUAUUAAAGGAAAGUAUAGUGUCCCCUGGGUGUUAGGGUUGGGAUUGAGGCUAAAAUCCAUUGUUUUAAAAUGAUAGUGAAAGGUGCUAAAAUCCAUUGUUUUAAAAUGAUAGUGAAAUGUGAGUAAUUAGCAAGUCAGUGAAAUGAACAGAAUUGGUUUUUUUUGGACUGUUGCUGUUAUGGUUUAUUGCCAGAUGAACUCUGGUGGAAAAUUGUAAAGUGAUAAUAGAAAUUUAGUGCAAGCCUUGUUGGACAAAGUUAUGAGAUGACAUUGGAUAAUAUUUUGAAGAAAGAUUUAUGUAAAGAACCUACUCCGAUUUUGGCAUAGCAAGUUUUCCUGUGUUUUGUUCCUGCUUUUUAUGUAAUUAGGUGAUUCCAAGAAAUAUUUGCUCCAAUGCUGUCUAAUUUUUAGCUUCAGAUUACAUCUGAUAUCUGGAAAUUUUGAACUAAUGUAAGAGUUUCAUUAUUCUGAGCUACUUUUUGUAUUUACCACAGAUUUAUAACCAGAGGAAAUUUUAUCGAUAUUCUUUGAAUUUCUAGUAAAACUUUCCACCUCUUCACCUAAAUCUUUCUAUCUAGUAUGCUAAAGAAUUUUUCUAAAUCAGGACUAAUUCUGAUCUUUAGUUAGGGUAGGGCAUUAACUCUUUUUGACUUAGUCUCCUUGAGCCAGCUUUUAUUGUGUCUAAAUUACUCUGUAUUUUAUUAAUUUGUGGUUGAAAAAUUUCAGAUGGUGUUUGAAAUGUUGUGUUACUUCAUAUUGUUUUUAAAAGAAGGAUUGAAACUAACUUUAAUGUAUUUGAGGAUCUAUUCCAAAGCUUGAAAUUUGCCUAAAGGAUUUCCUGCCAACUUCUGCCUGACACCUUCCUAGCUUUUCUUUACAGCCAUUUUUGAUCUGUGAUAUCUCCUGCCACAACAGCCAGAGGGCAGUAAACCACAGUGGACUAACUGAGCUGUUUACUUUAUGGCCCAUUUGUUCAACUCAAACCUUUCUCCUAUAGUUUUUAGCGUAUUUGGUUUAUAAAUAUAAGAAUCUGUUCUGGGUAAGAUUGCUUACUUAGCUGGUUAGUCAACAAUAUCUCAGAAUUAUAUGCAUCUCGAAGCUUAUUUCAUGUAGUUAGCAGUGAACUCAGGUAAAAAUUAGUUUUAAACAUCUGGUUUCUGGUUAUCAGAAUUUUAAAAAUAAAAUACCUCCUGAAAGAUACUUAUAACAUUUAUAUUUGUCCAUUUAAGUAUCAAAACAUAUCUUUUUGUUCUUUAAAAAAUUUUUUAUACAUGUGGUAGAGGAAUAUAGCAUUUUUGUUUGUUUUACUAAGUUUCAUUUUGUGUGAUUGUUUCUGACUCUUAAUCUCCUUCCAUUUUUCUAUUCCCUAUUGAUCCCUUAUGUUUUAACUUUUUGGUCUGGUCUUUAUUUGUUGGCAACACAAAUCAUCAUUUUACAGUGAUGAUGAAACCAAACCCUACGGUUAUUUACGCUUAUUUAAUUGAUGUAUAAAGUUAUUUUUCCAUACCAACAAAGCACAGGAUCAGUGUUUUUAGAAAUAACUUAUUAAGUUAUUGUGUUAUUUCUCAUAGAUUUUGUUACUGAGUUAACAAAAAGAUGUAGGCUGUUUAAAUAUUUUAUAGCUGUUUUAGAUUGCAUAUGUAGAUUCGUUAGUGUAUUGUUUUCAUGGUAAAGAAUUAAGCAAAGAUUAACUUCUUUUAAAUUGUUUUUAUAAAUUACAGAAAUACUGCAUUUUAAUUAGAAAAUUAGGAAAGUAGAACCACUAAAGGAAGAGAACAAAGAAACAAAAAUCCUAAAGUCCAAAGCAGAGUUUUAAUAUUUGGUGUUUCUGUGUAUAAAUGAAAGUGGUAUUGUAGUGUUUUGUAACUCAGGCCUUCUCACUUAACAGUAUCUUGUGAAUGUUUUUGCCUCGUAAUGAUUACUUUUUAAUUUUCUUUCCUUUUGAGUCUGAAAACGGUGUAAACUGUUUAUUUUUUUGCGUGCCCCCAGGGAAGUAUUACAGUGAUGGAACAAUCAUAACUUUGUUAAGUACAUCUACCCUUUUUAAUUUGUUGAAUUUGUGAAAGUUAUUAGAUUGAAGCAAAUGAUCUUUUCUGUAGGUAAAAGUGGUUGUAAAGGAUAGUUUUGUGUUUCAACCUAAUAUUAGAAAAUAUUUGAAACUUAAUUAGAAAAAUGAGUGGCAUAAAGACAACUUUGUUUCAAGUGAGGGAGAAUAUGACAGGCAGAGCAAUCAUGAAAAAAGGAUACCAGGGGAAUAUUUUAAUUGGUAGUCUUACACAUUGAGGAUAUUUUGCAAUCUAUUUCAUUCUCUAGUAUAUAUGAGUCAUUUCAUUUUGGCUAAAAUAAAUUUUAUCAGAAUCCUUUAAUGUUAAGAUGAUGGUACUAUUAUUUGUAGCAUUCUCUUUUUUAGGGACAUUUUACUGUUCUUUAAAAUACUUUUUAGUUAUGUUAUUAGGCAUUUCCCUUUGUUUUUACAGUGUAGCCCAAAUAGCAUACUAUUAAGAAACCUCACAAAGCACCAUCUUGGAUUUAAAUGUGUAAAGUAAUCCCUACAGAAAGAGAAUAAGCCUGUGGGAUACACGCAGUUUUAUACUAGACUUUUUGUUUAAAUGCUUUGAAUACCUGUGAAAUAGCCUGUGAGAAGACCAAGACACAUUUAUAACCUGUUCCUGUCACUUGGAUAAACACUCUUGGGCUCUUGUUUGGGGAAUUGCUAUUUAUAUUGUAUGGCAUAGUGGUUCAGAGGCUUGGAUUUGAAUCCCUGCUCGUUGACUUGCUAGCUCUGUAUCCUUGGUCAAGUUAUUUAACUUAUCUGUGCUUCAGUUUCCUCACUCUAAAUUGGGUUAUAAGGAUAAAAGAAAAGUUAAAGUACUUAGAACAGCACAGAGAACGGUAAUCUAUAAUUGUAACUCUUGCUGCUACUACUACAAUGCCAGCAAUUACUCAAACAUCAAAAUUAAAACAUUUUGGCAAUUGGUCCAUUCUGUAUAACAUUCAGUAUUUGCUAAUGUUUGUCAAAUAUUAGUUUUCAAUGUAUACUUUUAGGUUGAAGUAAUCAUUUUUGAGUUUGUUAAUGUCUGGUGGAAUAACUGGGAAUAAUAAAAUAUUAGAGAGGAGGGAAGAUACCCCUGCUCAUAGGAAAUUUGUCUAGAUUUAGGCUGUAAAUGGAGUUUCACAACAAACCUUAAAUUAUGUUAUAAAGAGGUCAGAACUUUAAGAUUUGACUCUGUUGGAUCCCUGUAAAGUAGAUUAGUAACUUAACUGCCUUCUCUGCAUAGUGGUAUUGAAGGGCACUGGCUGAACACUGAAUAUAUGCAUAUUUCCUUCCUUGUGUCCAUCCAUAAGUACCUGUAUCAGCAGGUCCAAUUAUAGGGGUUUGAUGGAAUCUCUGCCUUUGAUAAGUUAUGGUCUAGAAAGGGUAUAAGACAAGCACACAAAUAUGUAUAAUGCAGAGAACACUGUAAGUAUAUGAGAGAAAUAUAGUAGAUUGACUACUUUCCACAUGAACAGACAUUCAAUUCCAGGACUAAUGCAUAAAUAAGUGUUCUGUAAACUUACAGCAAGAACACUGUGAGCCCUAGUGAGAAGCCUUCUUGGUUUCUGGUCUGUUUACUCAGCCUUUAUUAGGCAAGAGCUGUGAUGCAGUCCUGGAUAUGUAAAAUGAGUCCUCAUCCUUAAGGAGCUCAUAGUCUUACUGGGGAGGUAGCUGAAUGACUCCAUAAUUAUGAUACAGUGGAGUAAGCAGCAACUGAUUAAGUUAGGGAUCUUGCAGAAGUAUCAGAUUCAACCUCAAGGGAAAAGAAUAGGGAGAUAGUGGUGAAGCUCAGAGUUGGUGAGGCUUGAGGUGAGUCUUACAGGAUACAUAUGUUACCUAGGUUGGGACGGAACUUGUCCUAGUCAGAGGAAGUAGCUUCUAUAAAAGGGCCUGAUGGCAGUGAAUGAAUUGUGGGAAGGGCAGGUUUGCCCAGAACAUAGUGUGUGAGUGAGCUAGUUGGGGGAAACUGAAAGACUGGGGAGGUGGGCCAUAGUGUGGAGUACACUGAAGCAAUGACUUAAUCUGAUAGAUUUUGAGGAAUUGUUAGAGGUUUCUGAUCAGGAAAGAGAUACAAUUAGAUUAUACAUAAGAUGAAUAUGGACAGGAAGACCAUACUAUUUUAAUAAAUUAUUUUAUUCUAAGUUGACCUAUGAACUUAAGCAUUCUGUUUAGGAUAUAGAUUUAGUUAAAAAAUACCUGUGACUAUAUACUGAACUUUAUAUUGAUAGUCUUUGCCAAUUUUAUUUUAUUAUAACUUUGCUCUUUUUUUUUGCGGUACGUGGGCCUCUCACUGUUGUGGCCUCUCCUGUUGCGGAGCACAGGCUCCGGACGCGCAGACUCAGUGGCCAUGGCUCACGGGCCCAGCCGCUCCGUGGCAUGUGGGAUCUUCCCGGACUGGGGCACGAACCCGCGUCCCCUGCAUCGGCAGGCGGACUCUCAACCACUGCGCCACCAGGGAAGCCCUAACUUUGCUCUUUUUGCUUGAUUAAAUUCUUCCCCACAUUUUUAAUUUGAAUUUUAGAGAAUAAUACAGUAUGCUAAAUUGACUUCUCCUAAUCUACCAAACAAAAUAAUUUGACAAACACAAUCUUUUGGCCAUUUCAUUGCCUGUUAAGUCAGUAGUGUGAAAGACGUGCAAUCUUGAAACCCCAGAAUGGUACAGACAGCAAGCACAGACUUCUAGGGGUUGGAGAUGGCUUGACCCAAAGCAUUAAGAGUCCCUGGCCCAGAAGAAGUAUUGUAUACAGAUUAGUAGUAUGUGUGCUUAAUAACAUUUGUUGAAUAAAUGAAUGAAACUUAUCUUAAAUGAUUAUAACAUAGCACAGUUUGUACUCUCAGAAGGUUGACUUACAAUGAAUACACUUAAAAUUUUUAAUGAUUUGGUAAUGUGAGGAGAUUGAAACCUAGUUAAAAUAAGGCAUUAUUACUUCUGUUUUUAACUCCCAGUGAGAUAUAAACAUCCAUUUUUUGGUAUAUGUUCUAUAAAGAAAUUUAGCUGUAAAUACCUACUGUCUGUAAUUUAAAAAUUUAACUUAUCUGUGCUCUGCCCUUUCCUUUUGAUGAUCACAAAUAGACAUGUAAAUUGUAAUGGGAAUAUAUCUGUCCACCUCUAUGAUUGUCCCACUAUGAGUAUUAGAUGACUGUCCCAUUAUGAGUAUUAGAAAUCUUAAGAGUUGGCUUUAUUAUCAUUGUAGAGGCAGAUUGGCAGUUAUUAGCACUUUGUUGUUGUAUUAGUCAUAAGUAUUGCCUUUUCCAUUUUUCAGUGUACUGUCACCUAUGCCAGGAGCUGUGGGCCAUUGCAAAAACAGCAUUAGGCAUUAGAGAGCUAGGAAAAAUGGAUCUGGCUUUCUGACAUUUACCAGUAUAAGAUAAUUUAACACACUCUCAUACUGUUUUUUAUACCACUGAACUGAUUGCAAGCCUCUGGAAGAAGUGGACAUUUUGUAGGGAUGGAGAAGGGCUGAAAGAAGAGAGUGGAGAGCCAGUUUGCUAUUAUUAUAAUCUGCAUAUAUAGAUUAUAGUCUGUAAUCUCAAAUGAUGGGAUUGAUGUAACCUUUGUUUAGAUAUCUCCAAGGAAGGAUCUAACUCCCUCCCCUCAACUUUUUAUUUUGAAAAAUAUUUACACACAUACAUAUGUGUGUAAAUAUAUAUAUAUAAAAAAAUAUAUAUAUAUAUAAACAUAUAUAUAUAUACCUUUUAUUCUGGCUAAACCAUCUGAGGGUAAUUUACAGAGUUCAUGAAUCUUUACCCCUGAAUACUUUUGCUUGUAACUCCUUUAAGAAUAUGGGACUUUUUUUUUUUUUUUAAACAUAACCAUAAUGUAAUCAUACUCAAGAAAUUUAACAUUGAUAUAAUUAAAUUCUCAACUUUUCAGUCUACAUUCUCAGUCUUUUCCCAAUAAUGCCUUUUAUAGCCUCCUCUCCCCAAUCUGGUAUCCAAUCAGAAAUCACAUGUUGCAUUUAGAUGUUUCCUCUCUUUAGUCUCCCCUAAUUUAGAACAUUCCCUAAGUUGUCGUUUUCUGCGGGGGAUGAUCCUUCAAUGAUAUGGAUGUUAUUUGAAGGGAGAAGUUGUCCUGUCAAAUGUUCCAUAUUCUAAAUUUGUCUAAUUGUUUCCUCAUGGUGAGAUUCAGGUUAAACAUUUUUGGUAAGAAUAUUGAGUAGGUGAUGUGUACUUCUUGUGGCAUCACACUGUAGGCACAUCAUGUCAAUUUGUCCCAGUAUUGAUCCUGCUAAGUUCGAUUGCUUGGUUAUGGUAGUGUCUGUCAGAUUUCUCCAGUGUAAACAUACCUUUUUACUUUUGUAACUGUUAAAUAAAUUUGGGGCAAAACUUUGAGACUCUGAUUAUUAUUUCCCCAAUAACUUUUCACUCUGGCUUGAGGAAAAACCUAACUUUGAGCCUGUUUAAAAAUAACAGAAAACUUUUUUAAAAUUAAUUAAUUUUAUUUUAUUUAUUUUAUUUUUGGCUGUGUUGGGUCUUCGUUGCUGCACGUGGGCUUCUUCUCUGGUUGCGGGGAGCGGGGGCUACUCUUCGUUGUGGUGCAUGGGCUUCUCAUUGUGGUGGCUUCUCUUGUUGUGGAGCAUGGGCUCUAGGCGUGCAGGCUUCAGUAGUUGUGGCACACGGGCUCAGUAGUUGUGGCUCGCGGGCUCUAGAGUGCAGGCUCAGUAGUUGUGGCGCACAAGCUUAGUUGUUCCGCGGCAUGUGGGAUCUUCCCGGACCAGGACUCGAACCCACGUCUCCUGCAUUGGCAGGCGGAUUCUUAACCACUGCGCCACCAGGGAAGCCCCCAGAAAACUUCUUGAAUCAUAUGCUUUUACAAAAGUAGUUAAAAGUUCAGAUGAACACUAUUCUUAAGUCAUAAUAAAGAAGGGGGGUGGGCAGAGGAGAGGAGAUAUGAAGAAAAACAUUCAGAAUGUAGCAAAGGCAAACUAUGAUGGUAAAGCCAAACUUUGAAAAUUAAUAGCCACUUAUUGCUUAGCAUACUAAGAAGAGAAGUAUUGACAUUGAAUUUUCUAAAAUCGUAGACAAUAAAGUAUGCACGAAUGUAUUACCAUGUAUGUGUAUGUUAUAGUCUGUGAAUUUUCAGUUGAUUUUUGGUGAUUUCUGGUUAUCUUUGACUAAAUGAAAUGAAUUUUAGUCAGCACUGUGAAUGGGUUUAUUCUCACUUGAAAUGAAAAACAAUUGCUUUCUGUGAAAAUAAUGGCCCCUUUACAUAUAAAAUUAACAGGAAUGAAAUUAUCUUUAGGUAAAAUGUCAUUCAGCUUGAAAAUUUUUUCUAAAGAGAAAAUCUGAUCCCUGACUUCCUACUCUGUUUUUAUGUUUUUUUCAUAUUGAUGGUCCAUUUAUGAUUCAUGAAAAUUAAUCUCUGACUAGCUUGAAAAAGACUUUUUUACAUUGUUUGCAUUUAUUUAUUCUUCAAGUAUACAAAUCUGAUGAUUUUGAAAACAGGUGAAUUAUAUCAUUCUACAGCAUUCUAUAUUUGUAGUAUUUUAUGUAUCAACAUUUAUAUGAAGAUUUCAUCACAUGGCAUUAAUAAUUCUUGAGAUUGUUAACACCAUGUACCUGAAAAGUAAAUUUUAUUUUAAUUUUCAUAUUUGCUGUUACUUUGUGGAGAAUAAUAUUCAAUAGAAAAAUACAUUUGUGUUUCAAGAGAAACAAGCACUUUGAGGGAAAACAUGGACCCAGUGGUAAAUGGUAGCUAGUUCUAAGUAGUUAUGAAGUAAGUUAUUCCUUGUUUUCAGUGUUCAGUUUUGAAAGAAUUAGUUUGCUAACAAACUAUAAAAUGGUAAUAGCUUUCAUUGUAUGAUUAUCCAAAUGAUUCUACUGUAUAAUUACUAAAAUAUUAGAUUUAAUAGAAAAUUAUAUAUUUUAUCCUUAAAAGAGAAAGUAAAAUACUUAUUAAGACUUUGGUAAGCAGUAAAUUUAUAUUAUAAAAUUAUGGUUAAGAUCAUAAUCACUUCAGAAUUCUUUCAUAUGAAGAAUAGGAAAAGAUCUAAUGGAUUGGAGAGAAUUAUUAAGCUAAAUGUGCUUGAAAUUGAGAGAAUAAGCUAAAGUCUUAACUUCUUUUUUUUUUUUGUGGUAUGCGGGCCUCUCCCGUUGUGGAGCACAGGCUCCGGAUGCGCAGGCUCAGUGGCCAUGGCUCACGGGCCCAGCUGCUCCGCGGCACGUGGGAUCUUCCCAGACUGGGGUACGAACCCGUGUCCCCUGCAUCGGCAGGCGGACUCUCAACCACUGCGCCACCAGGGAAGCCCUAAAGUCUAACUUUUGAAUGUAAAUAAAAUCGAUGUGUUACCACAGGCAACUUGCUGAACCAUGUAAUUAGUUUUUUUCUAUGAAAAAUGAACCAUUUAUACAGAGAUUGUAGUGAAAUAGCAUGUAAAGGGCUUAUGUUCUAAUGAUCUGAAAGUUAAAGAGUUGGUAAAAAAAAUUACACUUUGGGGGCUUCCCUGGUGGCGCAGGGACUUGAUAUCAAUAUACUCAGCCAUGAGCAUCAUUAGGAGCUAAAGUUUUUUGUUCUGUAUAAAAAUUGUUUUAAUGGCAGAAAUAACACAUAAAUAUGCUUCUUUCCUCCCUCCUCCCAAAAGAUCCCAAAGGUUUAGAAGUGUUUCAAGCACUAGAGAAUUAUGAAAUUGGAUUCUGUUGUUUUAAAUAUUUCAUACCUAAGCUGGCCUGAUGCUACCUGAAGAGUUUCUCAUUGAGUAUCAUUAUGGCAAGUGUUUGAUAAUUUUCUUUACUGCUCCAUCUACAUAAAUAUUCUUGUACAAUUUUCCACAAGUACUGGGCCACAUACUUAUUUCUUAUAAACCCAACAUUGCUAAAAUGCACUCUUUGUAUAAUGGGUCUUUUUUUAAAAAAAUAAAUUUAUUUAUUAUUUAUCUAUUUAUUUAUUUUUGACUGCGUUGGGUCUUCAUUGCUGCGCGUGGGUUUUCUCUAGUUGCGGCGAGCAGGGGCUGCUCUUUGUUGCUGAGCGCCGACUUCUCAUUGCGGUGGCUUCUCUUGUUGCGGAGCAGUGGCUCUAGGUGUGCAGGCUUCAGUACUUGUGGCACAUGGGCUCUAGAGCGCAGGCUCAGUAGUUGUGGCGCAUGGGCCUUAGUUGCUCCGUGGCAUGUGGGAUCUUCCCAGAUGAGGGCUCGAACUCAUGUCCCCUGCGUUGGCAAGCGGAUUCUUAACCACUGCGCCACCAGGGAAGUUCCUGGGUCUUGUUUUGAUCCUGGCUCUUUCAUAUUGUGAUUUGUGAGUUCAACAGAAUAAGCAUUAUCCUCUUGAGGUCCAUCUAGGAUUGAGCUAAAGGACUUCUGCAGUAUCCACAUGAUCAUACAAUUAGGUUUUAUUUUUUUUUUAUGGGUGCUCUGACGGUGUAACUGAACAUGAGCUGGUUACCAGGGUGUUGUGGUAGAAUAAUACCCUGCAGUUUGCAGUUAAUCGUGCAGCAAAACUGGCUUGACUUAAAAAUAUAUUUAAGAAUAAAAUUAAAAAUUGGAUAAAGAUGAAGUGUCUUUGUGUUGAAAAGGAUUGUGUGAAUACAGUGGUAAAGCGAAGUAGAGCACUCACAAAUCUUUUUGUCAUCAAAAAUCUUUCUCGGGGGCUUCCCUGGUGGCGCAGUGGUUGAGAGUCCGCCUGCCAGUGCAGGGGACACGGGUUCGUGCCCCAGUCCGGGAGGAUCCCACAUGCCGCGGAGCGGCUGGGCCCGUGAGCCAUGGCCGCUGAGCCUGCGUGUCCGGAGCCCGUGCUCUGCAAUGGGAGAGGCUGCAGCAGUGAGAGGCCCUUAAAAAAAAAAAAAAAUCUUUCUCAUUUAAUACAAUGUCAUAUGCAAAAUAUAUUUCAUUAAAAAAACUAGUUUUAUUUAUGGCUUUACUAGCCUUGGGGGGGAGGUGAGACUUUUUGCUCAUCUUCUUGAAGGUUUAUUAUACUCUGCCAUCAGUAGGAAAUAAGUAAAUAUUUGUGGAGUGACUGUCUGAAGAAGGAAAGUAUGAACAUCAUCAAGAUGAGGUCUCUUCAUUAAGAUUAUUUUAUUUUUUCACUGGUAAUCUUGUUUAAAUGCUAAGCCGUUUUGAUGUUUGCUCUUUAUAAGAGGGCAUGUUAUUCACAUUGAAAUAUAUUUAGUCUAAAGGAAAAAUUUAGAUUCAUUUCAGUUUCAGGCAGUAUAUUUUUAACUUACUUUAAAAGUAGCCUAGUAGAUAUUAAUAAUGGAAAGGACGCCUGCCUUGGCAUCCUUGGACAAAUUGCAUACAACUCUGUUUAGGGAGGAAAUAACAUUUGUUGGCAAUGACUGUUAUGGAAAAAUUUAUCAUGCCAUUUAUUGGUUUCAUAAAGAGUGUAACAAGGAGGGGCCCUUGAUUCCAGUAGCAAAUCUGGGGCUGGGGCAGUUAUCCCCACUGUUACCGUAAAGGUUUCGUUAACCACAACUCAGUUUGCCAGAGCCGUCACUAUCAGUUUGAUUCACAGUAUGAUUGGGACAAUGAGGUAGACUAUACUCAGGGGGCAAAAACAUUUUCCUAGGAUGUCCUGGAGUGCUGAUUCAGCUCAGUUGCCCACACAUUUAAAUUUAUAAUAUUCUGUAACAGCAAUAAAAUAAUGUGUGAAAGGAUGUUUUAAAAACAUUCUCUUUUUUUUUUGCGGUACGUGGGCCUCUCACUGCCGUGGCCCCUCCCUCUGCGGAGCACAGGCUCCGGACUCGCAGGCCCAGCAGCCAUGGCUCACGGGCCCAGCCGCUCCGCGGCAUGUGGGAUCUUCCCGGACCGGAGCACGAACCCGUGUCCCCUGCAUCGGCAGGCGGACUCUCAACCACUGCACCACCAGGGAAGCCCUUAUAAACAUUCUUUGAGCCUUAUAAAUUGUUAUCACUCUUUAAUGAUCUUUAAUAUUUAGAAUUACCAUCGUGUAUUUAUCCAAAAGAUAUUUAUUGAGCCUAUAUUGUUUUAGGUGCUGUACAGAAUACAGAAAUGAAUCAGAAACAUGCUCUGUUUUUCAGAAGCUGACAGUCUAAUAGGGGAGAUAGCAUAUGUACCUAGAGCGUUAUUACAAAUGUCCUAAGGGGGGCACACAGUAUUAUUGGAGUUAUUUGGAAGGAGACAGAGCUUUGAGGAACAGUUAAUUCUUAAGCUGAGCCUUAAAGAAUGGGUAGAAUUUGGGUAUUUGGAUAUAUGGGUAUGUUAGGGCAAGAACAUUUCAUUUAUAUGAAAUUGCAUGUGCAAAGACACAGAGUAGGAAAGUUUGGAAUAUCUGUUGAGGAAGAGUUACAGUUGAUUGAAACUGCAUAUUUGUGCCUGCUGGUGAUGGAGCUUAAAUACUAGGCUGAGGAGUUUGGACUUAGAGGUAGUUUGGUGGUUUUGAGAGUUUUUGGAUAGGAUUAGAUGGGAAGCUCCCUAUAGGCUGUAAACUGCACUGGGGGCAAGACCUGCAUCUGGCUUUGCCCAUUAUUGUGAUUGCAGGACCAGCAUAAUUCCUGACACAUUUAUGGGAUAAAUUAAUUAGUAAAUGAAUGUGAGUGCAAGAGAGGUUUGUAUAAAGAUUAUCAGUCUAGCACCACUGCAUACUAUGAACUCCUUCUAGUAUUCUGGAUCACAUAGGAAAGAAAACAUGCUGUUAUAGAAUACUGUUUUAAAGAAGAUAUACGACCACAUUUGAAAGAUUUUCUUGGUGCAUUGAUUUCUUUUUAACUGCAUAUUAAAAAGACAGUGAUAUAAUUUUCUUCACUUUUUUGGGGGUAGUUGCUUAUUUUUUAUAGUUUAAUUUUAAAGGUUUUAUUAAAAUUAAUUGAAUAAGUUUAUUCAAUUAUUUUCCAUAAAUUUUCCGUAAAUUAUUUUUAUUAGUUUGUAGAUAGCAAGUAGUUUGGAUAGUUGGAAAAAAGCUUGUGUCAUGUAUUGAUAGAACAGGGGCUUUGGAAGAGUACUAUUUAUUGGAUUAAAGUGCUUAAUGAUAUUUGUAUGUCAGAACCUUGUUAACUUACGAAUAUGUCAUGGAUUGGAUGACCUUGGCUAUCCUACAUGUGUUAUAAAUUGCCAGCCCAAUACUAAAGUUCAUUAUUGCUACAUAGAAAUGAUUAGCUAAGAUUGCUUGGCCGAGGCUCUCACUGGUAACCGCAUGUUUUACUAUAAAAUUAAAUUGACCAAAAGCUUUCAUUGAGCUUUCUCACCCUAAAAUCCUUAAUUAAUUACUAACCUCUUUAAAUAUCAUGUCUAUAGACUACAUGAUAAAAUGAGUUAGUAUACAAUUUAGGCAAACAUUUUCAAGGAAAUCUUUGAUAGACGUUUUUUAGUGUCAGUAUACAUCUCUUUUUCUUUUCUUUUAAAAAUAGCCUUUUGGUUCAAUCUACUUUGUAAAUAUUUAAGAUAGCAAGUUAUUGCUUUGUUAGUUAUAUAAUUUUAAAAUGGCAUUUUUCAAAGACAAAGUUGAUCUGUCCUCUCCAAAGAUGCUUGAAACAUAGUCACAUAUAUACCCGCAAUUACUCGAAUUUCCUGUGCUAGUUGAAAUUUCCAUUUGGCAGCACAUGGAGUGCAGCCCUGUCUCACAGAGAAUGCUUGAAGAGUCCUUCCACCUUCAGCAAGUCGCACCUUCUUGGCUAGAAACCAUUUCUCAUUCUCUUUUUCUAUUUGUGACCUAAGCUCAGCUGUCAUUCAGCAGAAGUAUAGGUCACAGAUUGUGGAUUACUCCCUCCUGUUCAAUCUCACAUAUCCAAAAUGAAACAGAGGCCAGGAGGAAAUUUACCAUUCUUUUGUUAUCUUUUACCUUUGUAGAGGUAGAGACCAUAAGUAUGAUAAGUAAACUAAAAAAAAGAUUGAGUGUUCAUAGCAUGUCUCUUCCUGUGAUACUUGUCAUGACAGACAAGUCAUUUAAAUUUGCUUCGUCUUUUAUUCUUGGCUGUAAUAUGGGAAUUACAGCUUUACUUUAUGAUAUAACAUGAAGUGAAUACAAAAAGUUCAUAGAUUUUAAAUGCUGUAUAAAUGCUUUUCAUAGUCAUACAUUUCCUUUAAUGAACUCCGCUGUCAGAAUAUUUAAAUCUUCAUGAACUUAUUUUAUAAUUCAUAGUUUUGGUCAUAAUUUCUGCCUGUAGAUAAAAUUUGAAUUCUUUUUCACCUGGCAUUGUCAGUGUCAUCUUAGUUAAAUUAUAUGUAGCCAUUUGAUUUUUUAAAAAGUUGUCUCUUAUAACUGUUUUCUGGCUUUGGCAGUACAAGGAUGAUGAUAAUAUCUAUGCCUGUGCUGAAGGGAUUUUAGAAUAAAAAAUUAAAAUUGUGUCCCAUAUUGUUUUAAAUAGGGAUUGUGACCUGAUCCUUGAUAAUUAUGGUAAGUGUGUGGUGUAUGUGAAUUAUUAAUUGACCAGAGUGUUUGGGACUUUUAUUGACUGUUGCAUAUAGAUAAUUAGCAAGAAUAUUUGAUUAACAAGGAUUACUACAGAUUUGUGUUACAUGCCAUAAUCAGCCUAUUUCUCUUUCCACAUUUGGUUUUUUAUUUGCAGAAUAGUUUUUAUUUAUGCUUAUUGUUUCUAAUUUUAUAGUAGUAAUAAACUAAGAGUAAAUGAUAGCUUGAAAUAAUUAUAUGUUGAAACUGGGAACCAGACAAAAAUCAAAUAUUUAUAGUUCACUUGUUAUGUGCUAGGCAUCAUGCUGGGUACUUGAUGAUCAAUCCUGCAUUGGAAAAUAGUUUUCUUUCUUUUUAAAUCUUAAUUUGAAUGAUUUACAGGGAAAAAUGUAAGAUUCUGCUGAUAUUUUUUGUACCUUGUUUUGUGUUUAUUAAAUUCAUUUUUAUUUAAUAUGUGGAAUAGAUUUAGUAGCUAAGAAAUAAGCAGCAGUCUUUACCAAUUCGAGACUGUUAAUGUAACUAGUUGAACACUAGAGGGACUGCAAACUAACCACUGACUUUUUAGUUCAGUAGUAUAUUAAUUGAGAUGCUUUAUUUAAAUAGCAGAGCCACACAGCUUUUUCCAGCUGUUAGUUUUCCUAAGGUUAAAUUUUGUGUGCAAAAGUUUACCUGGCAUCUUAUUUGGUUGAUUCAUUCUCAAGUGUAUGGACUAUAAAAUUUAAGCUCUGCCAGUCUAGGUCUAUCAAAGCAAAAAACCUUUGAUUGGUUGUAGCCUUCUUUAAAACUCAGUCUCUAUAUUUGUCCUGCUGAAAGAAGUGGGAAAUUAUAUAAAUAAAUAGUUUUCUGUUGGAAAUCUCUGAGUAGAAGAAAAUAAGAGUUUGGAAAAAUAUUAAUUGGAACAAUAAUUCAGAUUAUUAUCGUAUGGAGAUUUAAAAUGAUUCUGUGAUUAUUGAAUAUGUAUUUUGUGAAAAGAUUUAUCAGUUUAUAAUAGCACUGACAGAGCUUAGGUAAUCCAUACAUUAUAGUUUUAGUCUCUAUAGGUGGCCUUACAGAUAUUUUUGCUAUUUCACAUGAAAAGAUGUUUGGCAGUUGAACUUAAUUUGAGAAGAGCGUUCUGGAAUUCAGUCUUUAGGCAUUAAAAGGUUGAAUACUUCUUGAAGAAGAACUGUGGUUCAGUUUUUCUAUUAACAUUUUACUCUCAAAAUUAUUUUGCCUUGGAAAUGACGUAAAUUUGAAAUUACAAAAUUUAAAUUACAAUUGAUGUACAAUAGAUGAAUGCUUUUGAUUUGUUGGUUUGGUUUGUCAGCUAUCCAGGGAUUUUAUUUGGGGUCACAUUAUGAACAUAAAAAAAGAAUCAAUCUGCAUAUUUAUAUAUUUCUCUUUAAGAAGUCCUAAAGAUCAUAAAAUGAAUGAGUUGGGUGUAGAAAUCUUUAUUUUCUUCUGAAAUAAAUUUAUUUCAUCAUUUUUAUAUUUAUAAUGCUGAUCUAAAGUUUAUCCCCUAAAUAGUUUGUUAUAAUACUGGAACACUGGUAAAAAUAGACAUCUGCCUUUACCCUUGACAGUUUGCUAGAUUUUUUUUAAUGUGGCAGAAAUAUGAACACUAAUAACAUAAAUUUAAUUAUUCAUGUUUGUUUUAAUUUCAUUUUCCUUGAUUAUAUAUUUUAAAAAUUAAGUAUAAAUUACAAAUAAGUCCAGUUAGGAAAAGAAAAUUUUAAAUGCCAUCUCUUUAUUAUUAAUAUUCUGUCUGCUUCCAGAAUAUUUUGAGCUGACUAAAAUGGUGUAUGGAAUUGACUAUUAUACCUUAAAUAUCCAUUGAUACUUUCAUUCUAACUUAUAAGAACUAUGAUAUAAAUUCUUAAGGUAUACAUUUGUUUAGAUCAUUUAAAAAUUAUAUAUGUAUCCAGUUCAUUUGUGUUCCUUUUAUAAUUGGCAGAGUCUUUAAAGUUAUCCUUUGUGGGCUUCUGGAUUUCUGAAAAUAGUGAGGAAAAUAUAAAUUACCAUGGAAUUCUAAAUGUAAUCAGUUCUUUGGUAAAACCAGCAUUAGAAUAUUUUACUGCUAGUCUUAAGUGCUUUGCAAAAUGCUGAUAAGUAUUGUAUUAAAUUACAGAAUUUGUCUUGGGUUAUUUGAAGAAGAAAUUAGAUAUUAGAGAGUCUUUUUAAAAAUUUUUAUUUAUUUAAUUUAUCUUUGGCUGCAUUGGGUCUUCCUAGUUGCGGUGAGCGGGGGCUACUCUUCGUUGCAGUGUGUGGGUUUCUCAUCUUAGUGGCUUCUUUGUUGUAGAGCACAGGCUCUAGGCGCGUGGGCUUCAGUAGUUGUGGCACACAGGCUCAGUAGUUGUGGCUCGCGGGCUCUAGAGCACGGGCUUAGUUGCUCCACAGCAUGUGGGAUCUUCCUGGACCAGGGCUCAAACCCAUGUCCCCUUCAUUGGCAGGUGGAUUCUUAACCACUGCGCCACCAGGGAAGCCCUAGAGUCUUUAACAACUUCAUUAUUAUUUUCUCAGAAGUGUGGUCUCAGUGUCAUAAAAAAAAUCCUGGUGUGUCAAGAAUGAAACUGUUUUCUGGAGACUGAAUUUCUGGAAAAUGCCAAGAAGUACAGAGUACCAAACUGUGAAUUGUAGAGUUAGGAUAAAGGCAUGUUGGAUAUAAAAAGCAUGUUUUUAUUGCUGAUGUUGGCUAGUUGACAUAAUUAUAAUUGUUGGCAUUGCAGGAGUUGUCUUCAAGCGCCUGUUGUUGUUGUUGUUUUAAUUAAUUAAUUUAUUUUUGAUUGCAUUGGGUCUUCGUUGCUGUGCGGGCUUUCUCUAGUUGCAGCGAGCGGGGGCUGCUCUUCUUUGCAGUGCAUGGGCUUCUCAUCUUGGUGGCUUCUCUUGUUGCAGAGCACAGGCUCUAGGCACGCGGGCUUCAGUAGUUGUGCAUGCGCACUCAGUAGUUGUGGCUCGUGGGCUCUAGAGCGCAGGCUCAGUAGUUGUGGCGCACGGGCUUAGUUGCUCCACAGCAUGUGGGAUCUUCCCGGACCAGGGCUCGAACCCGUGUCCCCUGCAUUGGCAGGCGGAUUCUUAACCACUGCACCACCAGGGAAGCCC